GGGGAAGAGGCUCUGCGACGCGGGCGAGGGGGCUCGCCCCAUGGCCGGCCUUACAAGGCCAAGAGGGCGCGCGCCCCCGGGGCGAAGCCAGCGGCCCGGCGGGGGCGACGGCCACGCAGUGAGCGGAGGACGCGCCGAGGCGGGCGGGGGUCUCUCCCUGCGCCGCCGCGUGCGCCCCCGGGGGCGGGGCGCCCGCCCUCCCCCUGGCUGCCGGGCCUCACGUUGUCGAUGACCACAGGCUGGUUGGCGAUGAUGUCGUAGGACUCCAUGGCCGGGCCGCGCCGGCCCUGCCCAGCAGGCGGGCUGCAGGAGGCACCGGAUGGGCGGGCGGGCGGGAGGACCGGGACGGCGGCGGCUCCCGACGCGGCGCCGCUGCCCUCCCUCCCCGAGCCUGCAGCCUACGCGAGCCCCGCGGGGCUUUCUGGAGGGCGGGCCCGGCGGCCAAUCAUCGCUCCCACCUGGCCCGAUUGACAGCAGGUGCCCGGGGCUGGCUGCGCGAAGGGGGCGGGGCCUCCGGAGGCUGGCCAGCCAAUUGAGGUCGUCCGGAAAAAAGUGGUCGCGGCGUUGCCAAGGCUCCUGUUUUCCUAAUAGCAUGAACAGCCCCCCCGUCAGCUCCUACCCCUUGGUCUCUGACCUGUUCCUCCUCCGAGGUGACCUCUAUCCUGAAUUUUGAAAACAUAUUAGUAUUGCCUGUUUCUGGAC
rnacentral:lncRNA from 1 species